rnacentral:rRNA from 1 species
UAGGGAAUCUUCGGCAAUGGGGGCAACCCUGACCGAGCAACGCCGCGUGAGUGAAGAAGGUUUUCGGAUCGUAAAGCUCUGUUGUAAGUCAAGAACGAGUGUGAGAGUGGAAAGUUCACACUGUGACGGUAGCUUACCAGAAAGGGACGGCUAACUACGUGCCAGCAGCCGCGGUAAUAUGUAGGUCCCGAGCGUUGUCCGGAUUUAUUGGGCGUAAAGCGAGCGCAGGCGGUUUGAUAAGUCUGAAGUUAAAGGCUGUGGCUCAACCAUAGUUCGCUUUGGAAACUGUCAAACUUGAGUGCAGAAGGGGAGAGUGGAAUUCCAUGUGUAGCGGUGAAAUGCGUAGAUAUAUGGAGGAACACCGGUGGCGAAAGCGGCUCUCUGGUCUGUAACUGACGCUGAGGCUCGAAAGCGUGGGGAGCGAACAGGAUUAGAUACCCUGGUAGUCCACGCCGUAAACGAUGAGUGCUAGGUGUUGGAUCCUUUCCGGGAUUCAGUGCCGCAGCUAACGCAUUAAGCACUCCGCCUGGGGAGUACGACCGCAAGGUUG